AAGCACUGCCAGUGAACCUGAUGUGUCUUGGGUGUCAUGGGCCAAGUAAAAUGCCAGAGCCUAGCAACUUGUGAUAACUAGGGCUCUUCAGCUCUCAGUUGAACUGCUCCUUUUAAAACAAGGUACAUUU
rnacentral:snoRNA from 1 species